rnacentral:rRNA from 1 species
GCGAUUCCAGCUUCAUGCACUCGAGUUGCAGAGUGCAAUCCGGACUACGAUCGGUUUUCUGGGAUUAGCUCCCCCUCGCGGGUUGGCAACCCUCUGUUCCGACCAUUGUAUGACGUGUGAAGCCCUACCCAUAAGGGCCAUGAGGACUUGACGUCAUCCCCACCUUCCUCCGGUUUGUCACCGGCAGUCUCCUUAGAGUGCUCUUGCGUAGCAACUAAGGACAAGGGUUGCGCUCGUUGCGGGACUUAACCCAACAUCUCACGACACGAGCUGACGACAGCCAUGCAGCACCUGUGCGCCGGUUCUCUUUCGAGCACUCCCACCUCUCAGCGGGAUUCCGACCAUGUCAAGGGUAGGUAAGGUUUUUCGCGUUGCAUCGAAUUAAUCCACAUCAUCCACCGCUUGUGCGGGUCCCCGUCAAUUCCUUUGAGUUUUAAUCUUGCGACCGUACUCCCCAGGCGGUCUACUUCACGCGUUAGCUGCGUUACCAAGUCAAUUAAGACCCGACAACUAGUAGACAUCGUUUAGGGC